rnacentral:tRNA from 38 species
UAUGGCAGAUUAGUGCAUUGG